GCAUGACAUGUUCAUUGAAGUCCGUAUAUACUCCAGAUAAGUCCUUCUUUCUUCUCCCCGAAAGGGAUACCUCUCGUUUAAAUUCAUUGCAUGUCCAUUAUUUAUUUUUCGUUGAAUCCCUUUCUGUCUAACUCUAUUCCAUAAUUGAGACAAAGAAGGGAUGACAAGAUUGAUUUACAGGGCUUUCAUUUGACAUGAGCCAAUGUGCAGAAAGACACCCAGCCUCGCCAUGGGCAUCAAGUCGAUCCCCGACUAGCCAUGACGGUCGAUGCUUCGAAACCAAAACUCUUGGAAGGAGAACAUCAAACUGAAGUGCCUGUAAAGGCAAAUGAAGUUGAAAAGGUUAAUUCCCAAGUGGCUAACUGUCUCGGCAAAGGUUUUAAAAUCCAAGAUGUCCCAAAUGCUCUAAAAUUGAAGUUGGGAAAAGAAGUCAAAAAUGAAAGGCCUACGAAGGCAAAAUAAAGUUGGAAAAGGUUAAGUCCCACGCGACUAGCUGCUACAGCAAAGCUUGAGGAGGCAA
rnacentral:lncRNA from 1 species